rnacentral:rRNA from 1 species
AUUGAACGCUGGCGGCAUGCCUUACACAUGCAAGUCGAACGGCAGCACGGGUGCUUGCACCUGGUGGCGAGUGGCGAACGGGUGAGUAAUAUAUCGGAACGUACCUUAUUGUGGGGGAUAACGCAGCGAAAGCUGUGCUAAUACCGCAUAAUCCCUAAGGGGGAAAGCGGGGGACCGUCAGGCCUCGCGCAAUUAGAGCGGCCGAUACCUGAUUAGCUAGUUGGGGAGGUAAAGGCUCACCAAGGCAACGAUCAGUAGCUGGUCUGAGACGACGAUCAGCCACACUGAGACUGAGACACGGCCCAGACUCCUACGGGGGGCAGCAGUGGGGAAUUUUGGACAAUGGGGGCAACCCUGAUCCAGCAAUGCCGCGUGAGUGAAGAAGGCCUUCGGGUUGUAAAGCUCUUUUGUCAGGGAAGAAACAGCAGCUCUAACACAGUUUGCGAAUGACGGUACCUGAAGAAUAAGCACCGGCUAACUACGUGCCAGCCGCCGCUGUAA